UACGUAGGGUGCAAGCGUUGUCCGGAAUUAUUGGGCGUAAAGAGCUCGUAGGCGGCUUGUCGCGUCGGCUGUGAAAACCUGGGGCUCAACCCCGGGCCUGCAGCCGAUACGGGCAAGCGUAGAAUUCGGUAGGGGAGACUGGAAUUCCUGGUGUAGCGGUGAAAUGCGCAGAUAUCAGGAAGAACACCAUGGCGAAGGCAGGCUCUCGUCGGGAACGGUACUGAGGCUGAGACGACGAAAGCGUGGGGGAGCGAAACAGG
rnacentral:rRNA from 1 species